AGCCGUGUGGUAAGCACACAUCGUACUAUUCUUUCGCAUUUACUAAAGAAUACUGUGUUCUUGCCGCAAUUCAGCGAUAUACUAUGGUGAAUAAACUUCUUGAUACUGAAUUUAUUGGAAGA